rnacentral:rRNA from 1 species
CCUACGGGAGGCAGCAGUGAGGAAUAUUGGUCAAUGGGCGCGAGCCUGAACCAGCCACGUCGCGUGAAGGAUGACUGCCCUACGGGUUGUAAACUUCUUUUAUAAAGGAAUAAAGUGAGGCACGUAUGCCUUUUUGUAUGUACUUUAUGAAUAAAGAUCGGCUAACUACGUUCCAGCAGCCGCGGUAAUACGGAGGAUCCGAGCGUUGCCCGGAUUUAUUGGGUGUAAAGGGAGCGUAGAUGGGUUGUUAAGUCAGUUGUGAAAGUUUGCGGCUCAACCGUAAAAUUGCAAUUGAUACUGGCAGUCUUGAGUACAGGUGAGGUAGGCGGAAUUCGUGGUGUAGCGGUGAAAUGCGUAGAUAUCACGAAGAACUCCGAUUGCGAAGGCAGCUUACUAAACUGCCACUGACAUUGAUGCUCGAAAGUGUGGGUAUCAAACAGGAUUAGAUACCAUGGUAGUC